GGUGCGGUGGCGGAGAGGCUACGCACCGGCCUGCAAAGCCGAGUACACCGGUUCGAAUCCGGUCCGCACCUCCA
rnacentral:tRNA from 4 species